rnacentral:misc_RNA from 1 species
UUUCCGUAGGUGAACCUGCGGAAGGAUCAUUAACACCUGAUUCAUACCCACAACGCGAACCGUGAUUGUCCCACACUCCAAAUUUUAUACAACAAACCACACCAAACCACAUGCUGAACAAAAAUAGGGAGCGCCGAGCGAUCGGCGAGCCCGAAACCAAAAAACGCAAACAACUCUUAACAAUGGAUAUCUUGGCUUCC